rnacentral:lncRNA from 10 species
CAGCAAGAGAUUCAAACCUUGCUUGCUCACAAGGUUAAUAUUUACAAAUAUUGACUUCUGUUGAGCCCUUUGGAACUUAAAAAAUAGUCUCUUGAUUUCUCAGUGAUAACACAGGAGGGAUUUUUGUUUUGUUUUUUUAGUUGGGCAGUGCACAAUUUUAUAUUUUUACUCUGAAAGCUGGUUUGCAAGGAGGUGCAUAAAUAUUAUUUAUCAAAUUACUAGCAUUUUUUGCAAUGCAACUUAUGUUUUUAUAAUGACACCAGAUUAAGAAGAGUGAAAGAAUUGAGCUGCAAAUCUAAGCUUUGCACUCCCAAUCUUAUGUUGGAAUAAUAAAUUCAGUUCAGCCAUAACUUACUGAAUAUGUCUAAUAUUUCUGAAAAUGUCUGAGAUAUUACUGGAUAGGUCAUAGAAGAAAUAUGGAGAAAUGGAAACUAGAAUGAUCUGUGUGAUUCUAGGAAAUAUCCACAGAGACAUCCUAGACCCUCAAGAACCUUGCAUCUGUGUUCAAACAGUUGAAUUUAAACAAACAGUGCUGCAACUCCUGAAACCUGAAGUCUGUGACUCACCAGUUCUAAGCCCCAGAGUCCUGAUGGGGCACCUCAAGGAGACACUUCAGCCACCUAAGUCAGCUGGACCACCCCAUGACACAGUCAUGGAGGUUCCAGUCUGAAUUCAGAGUCAAUGAUAAGGGAGGCUUCCGUGGCAGAGUGAAAAGCACACACCUGAGAAAUGAAAAGAAAUGGCAAAGGUCACACGUCUCAGGAUGAAUUGCACUGUGUGUGACACCCUAGCUGAAAUCCUAUCCCACAGGACCAUCAGCCUGGAAUGCAGUUUGAAGAUAUGUGCAGAAGAAAUGCCCAAGCCGACCCCGGACCUACAGUGAGAAGCAGAACAGCCCAGAGAAGCUCAGCCUAGGGCAACAGAGACAGCCUAGUCAACCUACAGAUCUGGGACAAUAAAUGCUUCUGCUUUUAAGCCACCG